rnacentral:rRNA from 2 species
CCUACGGGGGGCAGCAGUGGGGAAUAUUGCACAAUGGGGGAAACCCUGAUGCAGCGACGCCGCGUGAAGGAAGAAGGUCUUCGGAUCGUAAACUUCUAUCAGCAGGGAAGAAGGAAGUGACAGUACCUGAGUAAGAAGCCCCGGCUAACUACGUGCCAGCAGCCGCGGUAAUACGUAGGGGGCGAGCGUUAUCCGGAAUUACUGGGUGUAAAGGGUGCGUAGGCGGUAUGGCAAGUCAGUUGUGAAACCCCCUGGCUCAACCAGGGGCUUGCAAUUGAAACUGUCAUACUAGAGUGCAGGAGAGGAAAGCGGAAUUCCUAGUGUAGCGGUGAAAUGCGUAGAUAUUAGGAAGAACACCAGUGGCGAAGGCGGCUUUCUGGACUGUAACAGACGCUGAGGCACGAAAGCGUGGGGAGCGAACAGGCUUAGAUACCCUGGUAGUC